rnacentral:rRNA from 1 species
AUGAAGACGCCGCCGGACGACGUGGUCCGCUUGAUCCUCCUGCUCCUCGACGACGUGGUCACCCUCUUCCGUUGCGCCGCCACGUGCAAACGCUGGCGCCGCCUCAUAGCCGAGCCCUCCUUCCUAGUCCGGCGCCGGUGGCCGCCCUCUCUGGUUGGCUUCUUCACCCAGCGAUGGCUCCUCACGACGUUCCCAGGGAGCAGCCCCACAGACUCCUCCAGCCAGCUCGCUUUCGUCCCGUCGUCCUCGUCGCCUUCGUUGUUCGGCCCUGAUCGCCGCCCAUUGACCUCCUUGGUCCCCAACGCGGACUUCCCCGCCGUCGACCGUGCAGUGUCGCUCGCCACGCGCGACGGCCUCCUUCUGGUGCGCCUGUACCCAUGCGACGAUGACCUGGAACCCAACGUCGUCCGCUUGGCUGUGUGCGACACGCUCGCCGGCAGGUGGGACGUGCUGCCCGAGCUGGACUGCGACAGCCAGUUUUGCUACUUCGACACUUACGGCCACACCAUCAUACCGAGCAGCUCCGGCGGCGACGACAGGCCGGCCUUCAGAGUCCUAUUGAUCGGCGCCGACAAGUACGAGUCGGAGUCGCAGUUCAACCUCCACCGAUUCGCCUCCAGCGACCGGAGCUGGAGCGCGCCGCGCAAGUGCUUCGACAUGAUGGAGCGUCAAAUCUGGUCCAUGAAGGAGGAGAACGCCGUGGUGUGCCGAGGCAACGCGCACUGGUUGUUCGUCAGGGCUUCAAACCACUUCCACGUCCUCAACGUCGACGUCGAGACCGGCCACAUCUCCCUGACGAAAAUCCUCACACCAACCAGGGACAAGUUCAUCCCGGCGGCUGACUUUGACUUAUUGCAUGUGGACCAUGCCACGGCCUUGGCGAAUAUCCGGCGCAGUCUACGUGACCUCCCUGGUGCCGACCGUCUCGCCAUCACCGCAGACGGCAAGCUCUUGUCGCUCAGUGUGUACCGUGACCGCCAUCUAGAGAUCUGGACACAACAACAGGGCGAUGGAGAUCGGAGCGGAGAUGGUGAUGCAGAGUGGCUCCGCACUAGGGUGAUCGACCACAAACUGACCGAGCUCAUCCGACAGAUUGAAUGCCCGUCAUGCAUUUGGUCGGGGGAGAGGAGCGGCACCUUGCUCAUCAAGGAUUACGACGGAGGGGGCAUGUAUACUGCUCGUCUCGACGCAGGGACAUUAGAAGAGGUGAUCGACCAGAUUCGUGAUUGUAACGUAAUCGUGCCUAUGGAGAUAGACUGGCCAACCUUCUUCAUGACGCGCCUUGAGGCUCCUUAUUAG